rnacentral:rRNA from 1 species
GAAGUAGGGGGCGAGCGUGGUCCGGAUUUAUUGGGCGUAAAGAGCUCGUAGGCGGCUCAGCAAGUCGGGUGUGAAACCUCCAGGCUCAACCUGGAGACGCCACCUGAUACUGCUGUGGCUAGAGUCCGGUAGGGGAACACGGAAUACCCGGUGUAGCGGUGAAAUGCUUAGAUAUCGGGUGCCCCCCGGUCGCGUCGGCGGUGUUCUGGGCCGGGCCUGGCGCUGAGGAGCGAAAGCGUGGGUAGCAAACAGG